UGGGGAAUAUUGCGCAAUGGGCGAAAGCCUGAUGCAGCGACGCCGCGUGCGGGAUGACGGCCUUAGGGUUGUAAACCGCUUUCAGCAGGGACGAAAUUGACGGUACCUGCAGAAGAAGCCCCGGCCAACUACGUGCCAGCAGCCGCGGGAAUACGUAGGGGGCAAGCGUUGUCCGGAUUUAUUGGGCGUAAAGAGCUCGUAGGCGGUCUGGUAAGUCGGAUGUGAAAUCUCCACGCUUAACGUGGAGGG
rnacentral:rRNA from 1 species